UUCUGGUUGAUCCUGCCGGACCUGACUGCUAUCGGAUUGAUACUAAGCCAUGCGAGUCGUUGUAGCAAUACAAGGCAUACGGCUCAGUAACGCGUAGUCAACCUAACCUAUGGACGGGAAUAACCUCGGGAAACUGAGAAUAAUGCCCGAUAGAACAUUAUGCCUGGAAUGGUUUAUGUUCCAAAUGAUUUAUCGCCAUAGGAUGGGACUGCGGCCUAUCAGUUUGUUGGUGAGGUAAUGGCCCACCAAGACUAUUACAGGUACGGGCUCUGAGAGGAGUAGCCCGGAGAUGGGUACUGAGACACGGACCCAGGCCCUAUGGGGCGCAGCAGGCGAGAAAACUUUGCAAUGUGCGAAAGCACGACAAGGUUAAUCCGAGUGAUUUCUGCUAAAGAGAUCUUUUGUUAGUCCUAGAAACACUAACGAAUAAGGGGUGGGCAAGUUCUGGUGUCAGCCGCCGCGGUAAAACCAGCACCUCAAGUGGUCAGGAUGAUUAUUGGGCCUAAAGCAUCCGUAGCCGGCUCUGUAAGUUUUCGGUUAAAUCUGUACGCUCAACGUACAGGCUGCCGGAAAUACUGCAGAACUAGGGAGUGGGAGAGGUAGACGGUACUCGGUAGGAAGUGGUAAAAUGCUUUGAUCUAUCGAUGACCACCUGUGGCGAAGGCGGUCUACCAGAACACGUCCGACGGUGAGGGAUGAAAGCUGGGGGAGCAAACCGGAUUAGAUACCCGGGUAGUCCCAGCUGUAAACUAUGCAAACUCAGUGAUGCAUUGGCUUGUGGCCAAUGCAGUGCUGCAGGGAAGCCGUUAAGUUUGCCGCCUGGGAAGUACGUACGCAAGUAUGAAACUUAAAGGAAUUGGCGGGGGAGCACCACAAGGGGUGAAGCCUGCGGUUCAAUUGGAUUCAACGCCGGG
rnacentral:rRNA from 1 species